GUUCAACUGACGAGUCUCAAAUAGGAUGAAAUGCGCGUCAAACUAGAU
rnacentral:hammerhead_ribozyme from 1 species